rnacentral:rRNA from 1 species
GACGAACGCUGGCGGCGUGCUUAACACAUGCAAGUCGAACGGUGAAGCGCCUUCCUUUUUGGUGGGUGUGGAUGAGUGGCGAACGGGUGAGUAACACGUGAGUAACCUGCCCCCUUCUUCUGGAUAACCGCAUGAAAGUGUGGCUAAUACGGGAUAUUCUGGGUCUGUCGCAUGAUGGGUCUGGGAAAGAUAUUGUUUCGGUGGGGGAUGGGCUCGCGGCCUAUCAGCUUGUUGGUGGGGUGAUGGCCUACCAAGGCGGUGACGGGUAGCCGGCCUGAGAGGGUGGACGGUCACACUGGGACUGAGACACGGCCCAGACUCCUACGGGGGGCAGCAGUGGGGAAUAUUGCACAGUGGGCGCAAGCCUGAUGCAGCGACGCCGCGUGAGGGAUGGCGGCCUUCGGGUUGUGAACCUCUUUCGCCAGUGAAGCAGGCCUGCCUCGUUUGUGGGUGGGUUGACGGUAGCUGGAUAAGAAGCGCCGGCUAACUACGUG